rnacentral:rRNA from 1 species
GACGAACGCUGGCGGCGUGCUUAACACAUGCAAGUCGAACGGAAAGGCCCUGCUUUUGUGGGGUGCUCGAGUGGCGAACGGGUGAGUAAAACGUGAGUAACCUGCCCUUGACUUUGGGAUAACUUCAGGAAACUGGGGCUCAUACCGGAUAGGAGCUCCUGCUGCAUGGUGGUGGUUGGAAAGAUUCGGCGGUUGGGGAUGGACUCGCGGCUUAUCAGCUUGUUUGUGGGGUAGUGGCUUACAAAGGUUUUGACGGGUAGCCGGCCUGGGCGGGUGACCGGCCACAUUGGGACUGAGGGACGGCCCAGACUCCUACGGGAGGCAGCGGUGGGAAACAUUGCACAAUGGGCGGAAGCCUGAUGCAGCGACGCCGCGUGCGGGAUGACGGCCUUCGGGUUGUAAACCGCUUUCGCCUGUGACGAAGCGUGAGUGACGGUAAUGGGUAAAGAAGCACCGGCUAACUACGUG